UGGAGGUUUAUUCAUGGUACCCCGAUGAUGGAUGAAGAGACCUCUGCCACCCCGUCUCUCAUCAUGGGCUGGCGUGGAACCAGGGAAAGAUUUGGUCAUACCCUCCUCUUCUUCAAUCCAGCUUGAUCUAUGCUCGCAGGUUACGCCGACACCUCCAACAUCCUGGUAUCUUCCUUAUGUACACCCAUGUCUCCGUGCAGCAGCAGCCUCCUCCUCUUUCCACGCGCGUCCCCUUCAUCAUGCCUUCAACUUUGAUCCAAUUGCCACCUCUGGACUCUCCUCCCUCGAGCCCUAUAAUUCAUGGUUGUUUGCUGCCUCAAUUUCACCACCACUCAAGGGAGUCAAUCUGAGCGGCUUUCGUGGGCGUCAACUGAGCGGUAAUUUUCCUAAUCUCAGUUUCCAAGGUUCACUUUUUACAUCAUGCGUUCAUCAGCUUCAAAGAUGAAUUCAUGACAGUCGGCGGUGUUCGUAGUCAAAGAUGGAUUCACAGCAGCCUACAAUGUUAAUCACCAUUGCUGUAUAUGCAGUGUUCAGAACGGAGUACUUCAACUUUCUAUCAGCAUGCAGUCAACACGUGAUCAAACAGAUAUAGAUUAGAAUUUGAAUUUUUUUGAUUUGGUUCAUGCUUAUGUAGGCAUAUAUCGAUGAGGUAUGUGAUAAUAUGCAUGUGGUAUAUACAACUAAAACAUUUGUAUGCAUGUACAACUAUGUAUUUUUUAAUUUGUAGCUCUUGGUAGCUGUCCAUUGCUCCAUAUGUGUUUCUUUGUCGUAAGAAGUCUGAUGGUUCUUCUCCUACUUUUCAUUAAAAAAAAUCUAUGUUUCAGUUCUCUAUACAGAAAUUCGGAAAUGAGUGAAACCAAUGAAUUCCCCAGCAUGAUUUUAUCCUAAUUGUUUACUAUAGUUUGAGCAGGAAUUGCAUGUAUAUGUGACAAGCUUACAAUGCAACAAGGUAAUAUAGAGCCUCUUGGUAGCCAUCCAUCUCUCCAUAUGUGAUUCUUUGCCCUGAGAAGUCUGAUGGUUGUUCUCCUACUUUUUCAGUAAAAAAAUGUAUGUUUCGGUUCUUUGUACAGAAACUCAGAAAUGGGUGAAACCAAUAAAUUCCCCAGCAUGAUUUUAUCCUAAUUGUUUACUAUAGUUCCAGCAGGAAUUGCGUGUAUAUAUGACAACUUUACAAUGCAACAAGAUAGUAUAGAGACUUAUAGAAGCGUUUCUAUCUC